GAUUAUGUAAAUGUUGUUUUUUAUUAUUAUGAUAUAUUAGAUUGGUAUUUUGUGUGAAGAUUUUGAUUUUUUUAUAGUGUAUGAGUACUUUUUAGGAAAUAUUUUAUUUUUAUUAAAUUUAGGUUUUUAUUACCUUUUGUAUUAGGGGUUUUUAAUGUUUAUGAAUAUUAAUUUUUUCUCGAUGAGUAUUGGGCUAUUUAAUUUUAUUUUAGUCUCGUUGUAUAGAGAUUAUUAAGGGGUAGAUAGUUAUGAAAUAUUAUUCAAAAUAUUUUAUAUCUAGUUUUUCUAGAGCUAUAAUGGAGUGUAUUAUUAUUUGGGAUGUAAGUAGGGAUUAGCUUAUUUACAGUUUAUAUUCUUAUUUUAUUAAAGUUUAUUUGUGAAGUUAAAGGUUCUUGUUAUUAUGGUGUUAUUACUGGAUAAAGGUUUUUUAUAAUUUUUUUGUUUUAUGUUAAGAUGGAAAAUAUCACAUUAAUCUUUAAUGUUGAUGAUAUAAUGAUAAUAUUAGUAAUGUUGGUAUUUAUAAUUUAAGUUUUAGAUUAUUAAAUUAGUUAUAAGGGCUAUUUAUUAGUGAUGAAGAAUUAGGCAAAAAUUAACCUUUGACUGUUUAGCAAAGACAUUGUUUUUUGUUUUUUAGUAGAAAAUAAUUUCUGCCCGCUGUUUUUAAUGAAGGGCUGCAGUAUUUUGACUGUAUGAAGGUAGCAUAAUCAUUAGCUUUUUAAUUGGGAGCUGGUAUGAAGGGGAAACAGGGGUUUGCUAUUUUAUCUUUAAAUAAUGAAUUUUAUUUUUAUGUGAAAAAUCAUAAGUGUAAUAAUGGGACAAGAAGACCCUAGUAAGUUUAAUUUUUUAUUUGUGAUGCAUAUAUAGGAAUAAAAAUUUAUGUAAUUUAUUAUAUAAAGUUUGACUGGGGCGGUAGAUUAUUAGACGUAGUUUAUUUUUUAACUUAUUUGAUGGCGAUUGGAGGGACCUAAGUGGUUUAGUUGAAUGAAAAAUUACUGUAGGGAUAACAGCGUAAUUUUUUUUAAGAGUUCUUAUUAACAGAAAAGUUUGCGACCUCGAU
rnacentral:rRNA from 1 species